rnacentral:lncRNA from 1 species
ACUCAUGCUUUAUUAUUAUUUUUAGUUUUUUUUUUGACAUACGCUCUCUCAAACUGCCGAUGGAGAUGCUCUAAGCUCUCCUUCUGAUACUCACACAUACAAAAUUAAAUUCAAAUGGAACUUUUCGUAACAGAGACGUACGAAAUGGUACCUGACUUGUGGUCGGAAUUUUAUGAUGACAGAGGGGAUGAGAUUGAGAAGGCGAAAGAUAGAAGCAACAGUAACCUGAGAUCACCGAAAAUACAUAAGCUCUCUCUCUGAUACUCAUGCAUUUGACACAAGAGCAGAGACGUACGAAACCGAACGGAACAGAGAUGACAAUACGACAUUACCUGACUUCUCGUCGGAAGUAUAUG